UACGUAGGCAGCAAGCGUUGUUCGGAGUUACUGGGCGUAAAGAGUGUGUAGGCGGUUUGCCAAGUUCGGUGUGAAAUCUCCCGGCUUAACUGGGAGGGUGCGCCGAAAACUGGCAGGCUUGAGUGCGGGAGAGGAGAGCGGAAUUCCUGGUGUAGCGGUGAAAUGCGUAGAGAUCAGGAGGAACACCUGCGGUGUAGACGGCUCUCUGGACCGCAACUGACGCUGAGACACGAAAGCGUGGGUAGCAAACAGG
rnacentral:rRNA from 2 species